UACGGAGGGGGCUAGCGUUGUUCGGAAUUACUGGGCGUAAAGCGCACGUAGGCGGAUCUUUAAGUCAGGGGUGAAAUCCUGGAGCUCAACUCCAGAACUGCCUUUGAUACUGAGGAUCUUGAGUCCGGGAGAGGUGAGUGGAACUCCGAGUGUAGAGGUGAAAUUCGUAGAUAUUCGGAAGAACACCAGUGGCGAAGGCGGCUCACUGGCCCGGUACUGACGCUGAGGUGCGAAAGCGUGGGGAGCAAACAGGG
rnacentral:rRNA from 1 species